rnacentral:misc_RNA from 1 species
UUUCCGUAGGUGAACCUGCGGAAGGAUCUUUAAUGAGUUGUCAUGGGGUUCGAUGCUGGCAGCCAGUUUUUGGAUGCAUGUGCUUGCCCUAACAAUCAUCUUCUUCCAAACACCUGUGCACAUUUUUGAGGGAGUCUUGAGUUGGUUGCCGCUCUUGGGUGAUUUUCUCACAUUCCCUUAAAUCAUUAUACGCUAUUAACAAUGUUGAACGUGCUCUGUGCCGCAAGGCCAUUAAUAUAAUACAACUUUUAACAACGGAUCUCUUGGCUCUC